GCCGGAGUGGCGAAAUUGGUAGACGCAGCAGAUUCAAAAUCUGCCGGUGCAAAACACCGUGCCGGUUCGAUUCCGGCCUCCGGCACCA
rnacentral:tRNA from 1 species